rnacentral:lncRNA from 1 species
UUUACAAAAAUACAAUUGUUCGUAGUAGGGUGGCAAUCCAGCUCACUGUUCGCAAGCCAACUCGUGUUUGACACGAAAUAAAUUGGAAAUCGAAUCGCUCGUUUAGUAAAUAAGCUGAACAAAAGGUGAAUUUUUUAGCUUAUUUAAUAAAGAGUUGAACACGAGCUUGGGUCAGCUCGCUCCUGUUUGGCUCAAUAAAUAUUUGAAUAUAUAUAUUUUAUAUUUAUAUAAUUUAUUAAAUUUAUAUUUUUUAUAUUUAUAUAUAUAAAUAAAUAAUUAUAUAUAUAUAUUAUUUGAAUUUUAGCAAAAUAAUAUAUAAAGUCGAGCUUAAUUAUAAAAAGACUCAUUUACAUGCAAAUGAGUCAACCAGUAGAUCAAUAUCUAAUCGGUAAGAUUUUAUAAAUUUAUUUUUUAUAUAUAUUCAAUCUAAUCUAUUUAACUUAUUGUUCGUUCGCCAUCUCGUGAGGCAGCUCGUGUUCGACUCAUUUCUUAACGAGCUGAAUACAAGCUAAAUUUUUUUUGCUUGAUACUUUAACGAGCCAGUCGAACACAAGUUGUCCUUAGCUCGCUUUGGCUCAUUGACACCCAUAGUUCGUAGGGCCUUCAAACAUUUUUUCCCAAAGCUUUUUUUUUCUAUUUGAAAAAAACUAAAGUAAAUAAAAUAUACAUAAAAAAUAAAAUAAUUAUUUUAGUUUUUAGUUGUAUAAAAGACUAAUAUUUGCAAUAGUUUAAAAAAUAGGAUAAUUGCCUAUAUACCCCUCAAAACUUUAUAAAUAUCUCAUUUAUCUUUAUUUUUUUUCUUUCCAAUAUACUCUCCGUAUGUUUCUCCGUUAUUCCAAAAUAUCUCUACAGUUACUACCUAUUAAGUUAAUUUGGAUUAAACGUGAGUUACAUAUUUACUAGAGUUAAAAAAUAUUAAAAUAUUUUUUUGCCCUUAACUUGAGGGCAAAUAAAAAAUGUUGGUGAUGGUAAAAGAGUAUAUUUGAAAAUACCAAAAUUCAAAAUCCUUUUUGUACUCCUAACUUAAGGGCAAAUAAGAAAAGUCGGUGAUAGUGGAAUGGUAUAUUUGAAAGGGCAAAAUAGUAAUUUCAUACUAAUAAUAGCUAUUGCUAACCGUUCAUUAAUAGAAUUUAACUUUAAGGAUAUAUUUAAAAUAGUUGAAACAUAAAAAAAUAUUUUCAAUAUAGCCUUCUAAGAGGGUAAAUUAAAAAGUCGAAAACUACUCAGGAAUAUAUAAGCAAUUGCCCCUUAAAAAAUUAAAAUAUUUUAAGUAAAUUUUGUGGGG